AGGGAUCAUUACACAAAUAUGAAGGCGGGCUGGAACCUCUCGGGGUUACAGCCUUGCUGAAUUAUUCACCCUUGUCUUUUGCGUACUUCUUGUUUCCUUGGUGGGUUCGCCCACCACUAGGACAAACAUAAACCUUUUGUAAUUGCAAUCAGCGUCAGUAACAAAUUAAUAAUUACAACUUUCAACAACGGAUCUCUUGGUUCUGGCAUCGAUGAAGAACGCAGCGAAAUGCGAUAAGUAGUGUGAAUUGCAGAAUUCAGUGAAUCAUCGAAUCUUUGAACGCACAUUGCGCCCUUUGGUAUUCCAAAGGGCAUGCCUGUUCGAGCGUCAUUUGUACCCUCAAGCUUUGCUUGGUGUUGGGCGUCUUGUCUCUAGCUUUGCUGGAGACUCGCCUUAAAGUAAUUGGCAGCCGGCCUACUGGUUUCGGAGCGCAGCACAAGUCGCACUCUCUAUCAGCAAAGGUCUAGCAUCCAUUAAGCCUUUUUUCAACUUUUGACCUCGGAUCAGGUAGGGAUACCCGCU
rnacentral:rRNA from 1 species